CGAACUAGUGUGAGCUAAAUAACCGAGGUGGAUAGGCGAUUGAUGUGCGUAGUAGAGCACAAUGUAAAGGGUUAUUUAGGGGUGAAAGGCCUAUCAAAAGCUAAGAUAUCUUGAUACCAUAAAAAUGUAUGUAGUACUUUGGGCAAAUAUAGAGUGGUUAGGCUUUAUAUAUGUAUAAUAUUUAUUUGAUAGCAAUAAUGAUAUAACCAUCUAUUACUUUGUAAGACUAUUACUCCAAUUUACGUUAUGUAGCUUAUAUGUGGUGCGGCUGUAAAUUGAAACAGUCAUUGAUAAUGUUUACAUAAGUACUGGUGGUAGACCUAGAUAAUGAACUCGGCAAGAUUUUCUUCAACUGUUUAUCAAAAACAUAACUAUAUGAAUGUUUAUAUAGCUAUUUCUGCUCAAUGUGCCUAUAAAUAGCCGCAGUACUUUGACUGUGCAAAGGUAGCAUAAUCAAUUGACUUAUAAUUGAAGUCUGGAAUGAAAGAAUCUAUGGGGAAAUACUGUUUCAUUUUGGUUGAUGGAAAUUACUUAUUAGGUGAAAAUGCCUAUAAAUAAAAAAUAGACGAGAAGACCCUUGAAAUUUUAAUUAAAAGGUAAAUGGUUUCUUUUUGUUGGGGCGACAAAGUAGCAUAUGAAACCUACUUUAAAGAAUAUGGAUUAUUUAUAAAGAUUAAAUAAAUUACUCUAGGGAUAACAGCAUAAUAUUUUAAAGUUUGUGACCUCGAUGUUGGACUAGGAAAUUAUAGUUUAGAAGACUAGUAUAAAGGCUCUGUU
rnacentral:rRNA from 1 species